rnacentral:rRNA from 1 species
GAUGAACGCUGGCGGCGUGCCUAAUACAUGCAAGUCGAGCGAACGGACGAGAAGCUUGCUUCUCUGAUGUUAGCGGCGGACGGGUGAGUAACACGUGGAUAACCUACCUAUAAGACUGGGAUAACUUCGGGAAACCGGAGCUAAUACCGGAUAAUAUUUUGAACCGCAUGGUUCAAAAGUGAAAGACGGUCUUGCUGUCACUUAUAGAUGGAUCCGCGCUGCAUUAGCUAGUUGGUAAGGUAACGGCUUACCAAGGCAACGAUGCAUAGCCGACCUGAGAGGGUGACCGGCCACACUGGAAAUGAGACACGGUCCAGACUCCUACGGGAGGCAGCAGUAGGGAAUCUUCCGCAAUGGGCGAAAGCCUGACGGAGCAACGCCGCGUGAGUGAUGAAGGUCUUCGGAUCGUAAAACUCUGUUAUUAGGGAAGAACAUAUGUGUAAGUAACUGUGCACAUCUUGACGGUACCUAAUCAGAAAGCCACGGCUAACUACGUG